rnacentral:lncRNA from 1 species
UAGACCUAGAGAAAAAACAAAAAAUGGCAGCUCAUUUUCUACGCUGUUCAACGUUGCCUCUUAGCAGAUGAAAUCUGCAAAUUAUCCGUAAAAAUUGACUUCCUUCUCUCGAUUUGAACGCCCGCUCGUUCGAAUCUUAGUUUCUGAUACUAGCGUUGGAAGCAAAUUGGAGGAAUACCAAUAUUUGAAAUACAACAAGGAGUGGAAAUUGGAAUUCUCUCUCACUUCUAAUCCUUAUAAUUCCAACCAUAUACAAGCAAUGAUUGCCUCAAGUUUCAAUUAAUCCACUGAUCGUUGGUUUCUCUUUUGAGGCUGCGUAACCAUAUUUCUUUACUCAAUUCAAGUUGUCAGAUUUUUAGAGGUUUGGUUUGUCGUUUAAUUGAAGUCUCGUUUGGGUUCCGAUUUAUAAUUUUGGUGUUUUGGUCCAAAGAUUGUUGCUUUGUUUAGCCCGAUUGAGUUGCAAUUUCCGGAUUUCGAGCAUCAAUAAAAGGUCCAUUUCUCUCUUUCAUUAUCAUGAUUGUGCCGUGAAUGAACAUAUUUUCUUAAGCUUUUCUGUGUGUUAAUGUCAUCUUUAUUAUCAUGUGAUUGAUUUUGAUGUAAAUUUAUGGAAAUUUCUGUUUUUGAAUUAAUUUAGAAAGAAUAGAGUUUGACCAAUUGGAUUGCUAAGAUACGUGAGCUUUAGGAUUAAUUAAGAAAGGAGGCUUGGGUUGUAGAAGACUACUACUGCUUUCAUUUUGUUAUGUUUCUAUGAGCCAAAUAAAAUCUCAAAACCCAUGGCCCUCGUUUAAUUAAUUUUGAAUCUUUAGAAACCGAGGCGUGCCAUUUAGUUGAAUUUUCAUGGACCUCGCAAAUUUGCGAAUGCAUAGUUGCUCUAGGCGCGCUAUUUAAAAACUAGUUUUCCUAAACUCGGGUGCGCAUUUAUGUGACCCAAAUCCAAAUCUCAACAACGUUAGAUAAAAAUGUGUCGUAGACCAGGGGGUGCAUUUAUGUGACGUGGUUCGAGACGUAUUUUAGAUGACGUUGAAUCUUUUUCCUAAAAAAUAAUUAUUAAAUAAAAGCGGUUAUAAAGUUAAAAUUGAACAAUAGGCUAAAACAUGUAUUCUCUUCCGAUCUGUAGGCAAUUCCUUACCCGGAUUUCUGUGUUCGCGGACUGUAAAAUAGAGUCAAUCUUUUCCUCGAUUCGGGAUUUAAACCGGUGACUUGGGACACCAUAAAUUAUCCCAAGUGGCGACUCUGAAUUUUUAAUAAAUAUCCCAUUUCGAUUGUCACUUUAUGUUGGAAAAAACUCCAUUAUACGCCUUCCGGGGGUGUAGGUAAAAAAGGAGGUAUGACAGCAUGUAUGCAUAAGGUACAAGAAUGGUGUUGUGUUGCCUCAUGAAUUCCAAUCCACCUAUCUAUUUGAAGUCAUUUAUGAUCACCACACGCAAGUUGAAUUUUCCUACAAAAGUACCCAACUUCAUUGGCACUCCUUUGGCUAUUCCACCCAUUGGCUGAGGCGGUGAGUUGAUAUCCUUGAUAUGACCUCUGCCCUUUCCUACGACUAGACCAUGGAGCUCUAACUAAUUUGAGGCUAGGUAAUUGUGAGUAGCGCCCAUGUCUAUUAUCGCACGAAUGGACUUGCCAUUAACUUUCAUUUCGACGAACAUUAGGGUCUUCUCUUGGUCAAGAAGAGGAUUCUCAUCCGCCUCCAUUUUCCUUUUUUGGUGGUUGGGCAUCGGUCCUUCUUCUUACAGAUGCCGACACUAGUUCCCACUAAGGCCUUAGAAAUAGAGAAAACAAGUGUGUUGAAGGCACCUAUUGGUUCUGUCAGGUCAGCAUGGUCAUCAUCAUCAUCCGAACCAUAUCAAAAGUUUGAUUGGCAUUCAUUUGUGCCUGUGGGCAUUCAUUGUUUUAAUGCGGUUACCCGCAAUGAUGACAUUCUGAAGGGGGCUUCUUCCCCUAAUCAUUUUUGUGAGAUGCAACACUAUUGCUGCCUAAGGAAGGAGUCUUAGAUUUGGUUUCACUCCGAUCUCCUCCACUUUUUCUUGGGCCACCACCAUUGCUAGGCUGGGCCCCUUUGUAUCCUCCUCGGACAAGUGGUUGAGGCUUGUCCUUUCGAGCAUCAACUUUGUAGUCCCCUUGGCGUUCUGCUACUUGGAUCGCCUUAAGUAAAGUAUCUACCCUUUGUCUUUGUAGCUCUACACGGGCAUAAGAUUUCAAACUUUCUAGGAAUGUGAUGAGUUUCUCUUUGUCCACUACAUCGUGUAUGUUUAGCAUAACUGCGGAGAAUUCACACACGUAAUAUCGGACUGACUUGGUCUGGCGGAGAUCCCAAAGCUUUCUCCACAUAUUGUACUCAACAUUUUUAGGGAAGAACUGUAAGUGUAUGGCUUCCUUCAGGUCUCCCUAUGUCUCAAGAGUAUCUUUACAUGCCCUGAUGGCUUCGUAUUUCACCCGCUACCAUAGUAUAGCGCCACCCUGAAGAUAUAUGGUAGCAAUUACUACCUUUUUUGCUUCUUCUAACUCACCCAUGGCAUCGAAGUAUUGUUAGAUGUCAAAUAUGAAGUUCUCUAUUUCUUUGGCAUUUUGAGCCUAAUUAUAGGGCUUCGAUUCAGGGAUUUUAAGCUUUUGUGGAACAUGGGCAUGGUUCACAGCACCCCCAAUGUGGUUUCUGCCUCCACGGAGUAGGCCUUGUAAAGCAAUGUUGACAACAUUGAGCUGGUCCAUCAAGUUAUCUAUGGUUACUGUAUAGCAAUCACCAAGUAUGCCUCUUGUUCCCUAUUGGCUAAAUCCUCGGUCCGCUCUUGUUGGAGCCUCUCGAAUUUCUUGAAAAUUUUUGCCGCCUUUGUGGCUAUCGUUUGCCGUCUCCUUUAAAGUCGCGGCUGAUGUUUGCAAUGUCUCCUUCGGCCCGUCGCAUCCUGUAGUCCAGGUCAUCCAACCUUUUUACUAGUUUGGUUCUUAGACCAGGAACCUACUCGUGAUGGAUCGUAAUAUAUUAACCGUCUCUUCAAGGAUUGCAAUGCGAUCCCCAUGAAUCACCCUAGUCAGAAAUGAUGGCAAUGACAAUGUGUUCCCUUGUCCGAUGUUGAUCCUAUGCUCUGAUACCAACUGUUCUUGAGAUGUAUUAGAAGGGCAACAUGAGGCUAAGUAACCGAUGUCUGUGUGGUUACUCUUUGCCAAUUGGGGUCCCCUCUAUACGCUAGAUGAGACUAUUAGUGUCGUACGGGAAAAUUGAUGUCAAGAGAAUUUGUAGAACCGAAAAGAGAAAGAGAAUGAAAGAAAGCUUGAUUGCAUUAAUGAAAGCUAUUACAAAAAGGCAACAAGGUGUCAAAGGGGAGAGACACCAAUACAUAGAAUUGUUUGCUUGCUUGAAAGUUUGACUACUUGAUCCCCCUAAUAAUGCUUAAAAAAAUAAACCAAAGUUGCAUGACUUGAAUAAAUAAGCUAGAGAAUCAUAAUGAAAAUACAGGAAGUAGAACUACUCUAUAUUUACAACAAAAAUGACUUAUAUUGCUACAAGGUAAAAGCAGGUUUGUUGGAGGUAACCUUGUCUUUAGCAUCGGGGUUUGCGCGCACUGCGCUAGCCGCAUGGCAUGGAUCGAUUGCGUUGACAAUGGGAACGCACUAGGGCGCAGCCUGCCAUGGGCGUAAAUUUUCCUGUGACUGGGCAUUGGCGAGAGCUAUUGAUGGGGAGACAUAGGCACAGGCGCGCUUGUCACUUAGUGCGGUCAAGAGCACGGGACUAUCCAUGGCUCUAGGCUUUGGGAGGCUUGCCAGGAUGCCAUGUGGUGAAUCCAAGGGGUCAUGGGAAAUGGCUACUAAUACGAUGUCAUGAGCUAUUAGAAAUAUUAGACAAUAAUGCCUCAUAAUACAUCACUAUCUAAAAAAUAAUACAUAGUAGUAAUGGAUGAUAGAAGGUGACGCUAAGGAUCUGUACCAAUCAAGUAGCUUAACCUUGGGUCUCCAAUAACAGCUCCUAAGCUCCCUUUAGUACCAGGAUCAGUAUCUGCACAAAAGCGUGCAAAAGUAAAAUAUGCAUAUAAUAAUCUACGUGAGUACUCAGUAAGUAUUAAAUUUAAACUCACGUAGUGGCGAGGUUUUUGAUAAAAGAUACUCACUUCUCAUUACCAGUGCAAUUCAUAAACGCAAUAAUAGACAAAUCAUAAGAAACCGUGAAUAAAAUAUGCACAACCAAAGCAUGAUAUCACAUGCUUUCUCACAUAUCCUGAUCAAUGCAUAUGCUAAUGUGUCAAACAAUAUAUAAGGAAUAUUCAUAAAGUAGCAUUCAUAAAAAACACAUCACAAAAGUCUAUAAUGUAAUAAAGGCUCAAACUUCAUAACAAACUGAAACUAUCCAAAUGUUUAACAAACUUGCACAUUACCGGUGAUCAAUCUCAACGUGCGAUAAUCAUAUCCAAUCUCAAUGUAUCAUAAUCAUUUAUGCAGAUGAAGUUGCAUACGUAGAAAGCAUGACUAUCAACAAAGUAUGUAAUCCGAGAUUACAUACAUACAACAUUGAAAAGAUGCUAAAGGAGUUAUGCGACAAGAAGAGAUCAUAUAACACAUACAUGGCAUUAAGUACCUAAAGUAUCCCAAUAAAGAAGGCACAUAGUAUCCGCAUCAAUGCUCUUAACCUCUCAUAUAUGUUACCUUCAAAUACGUAGCACAUACAAAAUAAGUUUGUUUUAGGAAAAUUUCCUCAAGUCGAGGUUAAUCCAGAUACCUACAUACCUCUAUCUGAAUAAGCUUCAAUCUUCAAAUAUCUCUUUACCUUGCUCUGAAGCUUUCAAACGUCCAUAAUCUAGUCAGAAAGUAACUAACAAGGUCAAAUAUAGUUAUAGGACUAAAUUCCAUAAGAAGAGAUUCGUUCUUGAACAGGUUAACAAACAUCAACUAAAGCCAACCUUUGCUCACGCGGUCAAACCCCAAAAAAAGUUAAAUUUUGGUAAUCCAUAACCUCCGCAAUUCAACUAUAUAAUUAGAUUCUUAAUUUAAGUCUAAAUCGAUGUUCAAAUGCUUAAAAGUACUUUUUCUUUCAAGUUAAAAUACCUAUUUUCUACCUUCAAAUUCUAUAAUUUAAGUGCUAAACUUUGUGCGUAUUCAUGAUAUAUAAUUAUUAUCAAGUUAAGAAUACUUACCCACAAGAAUCAGGUGAAAUCUCUUCAAAAAUCUCCCUUGUACCAAAAAUGGUGAGAUGAGCUUAAAUCCCGAAUCUGGACAUUAAAUACACAUGAAGCCCAUUUUUUCAUAACGAUUGCAACAGAAGUGUCACGACUCAAUGUCCCACUUAGUCUUGAUGACACAUAAUCUCAACAUGUUAGGUAAGCCAAACAAUGAAUAAUACAACUCAAAUGAAAUAUCAUCAAUAACAAUAAAUAUGACGAUGAAUAUCUAUACAAAUACCCUAAGAAUUGAUAGUACAAUUUAUGAGCCACUAAGAUUUAGAUUUACAAAGUUGGUUCGAAGAAUAAAUACAAUAUCUGUUUGAAUGUACAUAAAUAGAAGUACAAAUACUAAACUACCAAGAACAAGUGGUAGCUUAUAUCUGGACCGCAUGCAUAUCUAAAAUGCUAGCCUUCGUCAUUCAUAGCAGCUCAUCUCCAAGAUCUGCACACAAUGUGCAGGUCACGACCCAAAAUCCUAACUAUGGGGUCGAGAUGGUGCCUAACAUCCACUUUCUAGGCAAGCCAACAUUAGCACAACAACUAAAGCAUUUUACCAUUUAAGAUUCAUUAAUAAUAAUAAUAAUAACGGUGAAAUAGCAUAAAUGUAUAAUAGAUGUACAACCAUCGUUCUCUAAGACUAUCCCCAGAAUCUGGUGUCACAAGUACAUGAGCCACUAAUAAUACUAAAUACAAGUUUGGAAUAGAAAAUACAAUACUAUCCAGUACAACUUCUAUAAUCUUUCCAGAGUUAUCCUUCGCGAUCACGAAGCACAAAGAUGAUCGCUUCCCAAAAUACACUGUGUUCGUGGCACACACCUCGCGUAUGUGAUGACCAAAGAUGCCAAGCCUUCGCGAAUGCGGCUAAGAUUCUGCGAACAUGGAGGAAAUUCCUCCGGCUCCCAUCUCUCCAACGUAAAUGCGACACAUCCUCGCAAAUGUAGUGAGCAAGUCACUGCGAACGUGACCACCUUGCCAUGAAUGCGAGGAGGAAAAGUACCCAUACCCAACAAACACCCAUCGUGAACGUAGAGAACUAAACUCCUCCAGUGAACUCCCUUAUUCGCGAAUGCAAUGGUACUCCUACAAACAUAGUUCACAGGCGACACCAACAAUGCAAACAUGAGAUAAAUGGUCUGAAACACAUCUGAAAUACACCCGAGCCCCCUCCCCUAUCCAAGCAUGCCAACAAGUCCCGAUACCUAAUGAAACCUUAUCCGAGAGCUCAAAAAAUCAUGAAUAUCAUCAAAACCAAGAAUCAACAACCAAGAUCAUUAUCUUAAGUUCAUAAGCUUCAAACCAAGCAUCUGAUUCAAGCCUAGCCAAUCUGGAAUGAACCCAAACUUUGUACACAAGUAAAAAUGAAAAAUAGAGUCUAUUCCAGCUUCCGAACAACAAUCCAAACCCCGAUAUCAUCAAAGUCAACUCCCGGUAAAAUAUAUGAAUUUCUUAAACCUUCAAAUUUCUAACUUUUUCCAGAUAGAGCCAAAUCAACCCAGGAACCUUCAAAUCCAAAAUCGUACAUACGUCUAAGUUCAAAAUCACCAUAAGAACCUAUCGGAACCAUCACAAUAUGAAUUCGUGACCGUUUACACAAAACUAAAACAUUGGUCAAUCUUCAACUUUAAGGCUCCAAAAAUAAAAAUUUCUCUUCCAAAUCAAUCCUGAACCUCUCGAACAUCGAAUCCAACUAUACAUGCAAGUAAUAAUGCAUCAUAUGAAGCUACUCAAAUUUUCAAACUACCGAACAGAAUGCAAAAACUCAAAAUGACUGGUCGGGUCAUUUCAUUCCCCCCCCACUUAAAUAUACGUUCGUCCUCGAACAUAUGAAGAGUUGUUCUAAAGUCACCAAGUCAUUGCAUAAACUCAUCGCACACACAUCCAUGGGUUAUCCCAUGCACCACAAUCCAUAUAAGGCCAUUAACAGAACCCCGACUGAAGAUGCUUUCUUCAACCUCAAUCCAUAAACCUUAGAACCAAAUACCAACAUCCAAAAUUCCCUAUGAGAUUCGAUUCUCACCUAUACACACUUUACAAGUCUCAACAAGUUGCAUCAAACCAUAACCAUUCCCAAGAUUUAACCAUUGAUGUACCACAUAAUUCAUGUACUCAUAGUGAUAUCUUUAGACUAUAAUAGCUGCUCAUUACCAAAUAGGGUGCAAAUUACAUACCUCAUAUCAUAUAAAACCUUUACAAACCUUCGUAACACUACUAAUGAUGAAAUAAAUAUGUAGAAGCUCAUAAUCAUUCUCCAAGUCAAUAAGUCGUGGAGCUCCCUCACCCAAUAAGCACAAUUGCCAAAUCCCAAGUUGAUUGAUGACAUUACUCUUCCAACAUACCUUAUCUCAUUCUGAUUACGUGAUUUUCAAGUCCAAUAACCUCAUCUCACCCAAUAUAAGUUGCUCGACCGACAUGCCACACCUAAUGCCACCUAGAGCUAUAUAUGACGCAAUCUAUACCCAAUAACCAAUAACUUGAAAAUAACUAAAGAUGGAAAAAGAACCAAAUGAGGGAACUAUCAAACAAAUCCAAUAGGUACAACCCCCAAUGACAUCAUAUAAUUAAUCGAUCCCACAAGGGAGAAGAAAAAAUACUAAAUAACCACAACAAAUCUCAUUCUAACAUAACCCCGCUGCGUCACGUAGCCCAGUCCAAACAUACCAAUCCACGUGGAAUACCCAUCGAGCCAUAAUGUUCACAAUCAACAACCACGUGUGUAUCAACAGAAAAUACGUAAAAUACAUGACCAUUACCAUAUAGAAAUGGAUAGCACAACAUACCAUCGAUAGGAAAGUAUGACUAAACUGUGCGCAAAAGUGAGCAAACCCGAGCUGAUGUAGGAUAUACAUUAUCGUUAGGCCUACCAACGGGCCCCUAAAUUAAUUUCGCUCAUCCAAAAUUAGGUAAAUAACCUUCCAAAAGUUCAUAGUAACCUCUCCAUUCAGCUGACUAACUCUUAACAUAUCUUCACAGUCCCCACCCAAGGAAUAGUUUGCCUCUGAGAACAUCUAGUCUCUAAAUCUCAAGAAUAUAGGAAUCUCCAUAUCUAAUCCCUACUCCAUCUCUCAAAUGAGUGACAUAUCACCCAUACACAAUCAUCUUGUGAAAAAUAAUCAUAAAAUCUUUUGUGCCACGUAGCACCUAAACCUCAGCAUCCAAAGACCAAGCGAUUACUGUACUAUCAGUCAAGUAUCCGCAAGUCAAAACAUAAUGAGUCUCUUAACACACACACACUUCUCAAGCGAUACCAAAUAGUACUAGCAUUUGCUAAAACAUCUAAAAUCGUCCAUGUUGUCUAGAACUCAUGACCUUCCCUUUCGAAACUAAACCGCAACCUUGUACUUGCAACUCACAAUUCCACGCAGUGCACCGCAUCUACCAUGCUAUCAUAUGAAACACUAGAAUCCCAUUAUCAACUCUAAAACACAAGUAGGAUAGAUAUCCCAUCAACCAUAAACCUUCCACUUAACUUAUUCCUAAAGAACAAAAUCACUACACGUAACAAACUCCCCAUGCCUGUAGAAUACAUCAUCAACCGCAAGUCGUGGCCAAACUAUCACAAACUUUUCGGAACCCAUUUUCACAUAAUCAAAUCAUUAGAACUGAUUCCUUCUAACUCAACCAAGUCACGCAGACUGCCAAACCCAAAAGUUUUGAUGCCAAAUACCAGUAGAGCUCUAUCAUACAAAAUGAACCGAUCAUUUCUUCUACUAUACUAAUCCAAAUCACUACUAAUUAGCUAACCCAACUUCUUCAGUUUCCUUUUGACUUUCCCUCAAGGUAACACUUCUCAUUCAUAAUAUUCUAAGACUCAUAACCACUUUGUUCCAUCUCAUGUACCUAAUAGCACCUCAAAUCGAGAUAUCGCUAUGAAAAGACUUUAUGCAAAUUUAGAGUUGUUUCUUUCAUCUCGCUAAUACUGCAAUGUAGAAUUAGUAAUGAUAUAAAAAUAUUACAAGUCUCAACACCAUCCAAUUCAAAUCUCAGAUCUUAGCCAUACACAAAUAUGAAGAUCCUUAAACACCAUAUGUAAAUCGUGAACUCAUUAGAACCUUCUCGAUAGCCAUCUUCUCCACUCUGACCUCUGAUCCACUAUAAAUAUCAAACUUGAAUGAUUCAAAGAUUUCCAUAUAUCAACAAAUUAUAGUACAUCAUGUAUUUAGCCAAUCCUUGCUCAAAUCAUCCUUGAAGUCAUCCUUUUCAAGUCAUAGAUAAUCCACAAACAUCCCUUAGUCCAAAAACAAAUGUAACACAUGACCAUGUGAUUCGAUUGUUGAUAGAAGGCUCCCCCAAUUAGCUCGAAAGCAUAAAACAACAUGUCUAUAGCCCACAAUGCCCUUCCUUUGUAGCUACCCCGAUCUUGCACUGUUAUUAAAUUGAAUGCUUCAUAAACGCAUGUAACACUAGUCAUAAACACUCCAAAUCAUCUUCGAAGUACACCCUCAUUCUCAUAAUAGUCGAGCCAACUUCUUCAAGUACUCCCAAAAAUUAGUACAUUCAUUCCACUAAAUAGCAGCCUCAUAUGAAGCACACAAACUCAGGUGUUUUCAUGGGAGAUAACCCAUCGGCUAGCCUCUAAUAUACAUCUUCCCAUGACCCUAUUUGGCACGUGAGCCGUCAGUGCGGUUAUGAGUUGUGAUGAGAGAACAAGAUGCCAAGUGUUAGGGAUUAGGUAUUGAGACCCAUAUUGUAUGAUGACGAGAUGGGGUAUUAUAGGGUAACUUAUAUUCGAAGGAUAUUUAUUUGAAAAGAUUAUAUUCGAAAGGUAUUUAUUUUGAAAGAACUAUGUUUGAAAGAUAUUUAUUUGAAGGAAGUAUAUUUCGAAAUAUCUUUAUUGGGAAGAUUUAUAUUCUACAUAUUUCUAUUCGAAAACUUAUGGGUGAAAGAUUUAUACUUGAAGGAUUUGACUAAUCGAUUGGAGUUUGUUGGCUAAGACUUGAUGUGAAAACUGCCGUAGUUGCUGAGUUAUUACUUGUCUUUACUGUAUUUGUGAUUUCGGAUUUGGGUUGUGUUUCCGUCCACACUUUUGUGUCCUUAUUAUGAUGUUCUACUGUGUUACAUCUCGCAUUUUCGUACGUUAAAAUUUUAUUUUCAGUUAACCGACGUAGACUCGGGGAUGAGAUCAUCUCGAUGUUAACAUAUUUACGCUUUUUAUAACAAGCGAUAAAUAAGUGUUAUGAAGGAUAAAGGGGUACACGGAUUAAAGGAAAUGAGUUUCGUUGAAAGUGGACAAUUUGGAAAACAUAUGGGUCGAGUGAUAAUACCCGAUAAUUAUGAAUUAGUACCAUGCAAAGUAUCAUAUAACCAUGGUAGUAUAAUAUAUAAAGUAUAUAUGAAUACUUUAUUACUGGGUAACAAGACAUUACCCAGUUAACUAAUAAGUGAGUAAAUAAUUAAUAACUUAACCCCACCCCCCACGCGUGGCAAUGAGCCACACACUUAGAAAAAUGAUUAAGUAGUCAUAAUUCUAGGUGGCUACAUAGAAUCAAAACUUAAAAGACUAAGCCUUAAUCUUAUCCAAAAUCUGUCAUGAGCUUCAUUUACUAUCUUGGAUCCAUUUCAAAUUUCAUUACUUUGAAAUUGAAACCAAGGAUAUUGAGGCAGAAUAUUUCGUCCAAUUCUUGCCAAGAGUUCAAGUGAAAAUUUCAAAGUUCAAUUAAAUUAAAUCCAUUUACGUUCUUGUUCAAAAAUGCUAGAGCAGAAUGCGACUUUAGCUUCUUUGGCUUUAUUUUGGCAUUGAAACCAAAGGAAUUGAAUCAGAUCAAUUCGUCCAAUCUCUUAGCCUCAAAUCUAUUCUUGGUUUUAAAACCAAGAACGUUGAACAGGUAUGUAAAGGCUCUCCCUUCUUUCUUUUGGCAUGGUCCAAAUUAUAUUGACGAAACGAGAAAAUACACAGUUUCUAUAAAUUACUCUAUUCACAGAAAUAGUAGGGUUGUCUAUAUUCUUGAUUCCCCAUGAGAAUUAUUAUUAUCUUCUGUUCAUGGGUCUUAGAAUAAAACGCAGUUGAAAAGGUUUAUCUGGAAGGAAUAUCGAGAUUAUUAUGUAUUUUUCAUUCAUUUCACUCAUUUAUACAUGUGCAUUGACUCAUGACCAUAUGGCAUUAUAUACGCGUAUAUAUGUAAAUAUAUGCAUAUGGGAUAUGGGAAAAGGUUACGGCGUUAUAUACGCACCACCACCUGAUCAGCUGGUAUAUGAUGAUGAUGUUGCCCACAUUGGCUGAAGUAUAAUUCAAACGACAUUAAAUAUGUGUAUAUAUGUAUGUAUAUGUAUAUGUAUAUGUAUAUAGGAUAUGGGAAGAGGUUAUGGUGUUAUAUACGCACCACCACCUGAUCAGCUGGUAUAUGUUGAUGAUGUGCCCACAGUGGCCGAGACGAUAUGAUGGGAUGCACUCACUGGCUUGAUGAUAUUAUGUACACUCAUACCUAUGCAUGACAUGACAUUUAUAUGCAUGUGCAUAACGUUAUAAACAUUUUAGAAUUUACAAAGUUAUUCAUUAAAGACAUGUUUAUAUAUUCUAUGUUUCAUUUAUGCCUGUCAUGUACUUAUUUUCAUGCCUUACAUACUCAGUACAUUUUUUGAACUGACGCCCUAUUUCACGGGGCCUACAUUCAUACUCGCAGGUGCAGGUAGGCAAGCUAACGGUCCCCCU